rnacentral:lncRNA from 1 species
AGCAGCUCCUGCUACCUUGAGUUCCCGCUCAGUUCCCGCUGAGUUUCCCCGCAAUAAAGCAGUUCCCACUUCAACCUUCAAAUUGCUUGUCACCUCCCCGUUAUUUUGCCCAGCCGGACUGUGGCAUAUGGUGGCCCGUACGGGGAGCUCCAGGAUGUUUGGGAGUAAGUGACAAGGUAAGGCUGCUCGCCCCUGAGGAUAGGGCAAGAGAAUGGCUGACCAUUUCAAGAAACAGUGUGUUCUUGUUUCGUUUUGUUUCGUUUCAUUUUUAAGCUGCCUGUCCCUAGAAAUAAAUAGGACAGGAGAAAAGCUGAUCGCCCCCGAGGAACAGAUAGGGCGAGAGAAGGGAUGCACAUUUCAAGAAAAUAGAAAAAUUGAUACAGUGUGUUUUUGUUCUGUUUUGUUUCGGUUUUGUUUUGUGUUAUCUUAGUGGAUUGCGUUAUCUUUGUUAUGGAAAAAUGGGAUCAGAAGUUAGUAAAAAUCAAACCGAAAGGGUGUUAAGUAAAUUGCUAGAGGAAGGAG